UACGUAGGGCGCAAGCGUUAUCCGGAAUUAUUGGGCGUAAAGAGCUCGUAGGCGGCUUGUCGCGUCGGAUGUGAAAGCCCGGGGCUUAACCCCGGGUCUGCAUUCGAUACGGGCAGGCUAGAGUUCGGUAGGGGAGAUCGGAAUUCCUGGUGUAGCGGUGAAAUGCGCAGAUAUCAGGAGGAACACCAGUGGCGAAGGCGGUUGCCUGGAGCUUUGCUGACGCUGAGGCGCGAAAGCGUGGGGAGCGAUCCGG
rnacentral:rRNA from 1 species